rnacentral:lncRNA from 1 species
UACUUGAAUGACAUUUAAAUCUGAUUUUGCUAAGAAAUGUAUGAAUUAAAAGUUGGAUUACUUACUUGAUGACAGAGAGGGAUAAACAGAUUCACAUAUCUCUUCGUAUUCUUAUGAUUUCAAGGGAACUUGAAGAGGUCCCUAACACAUCCUUGUGACCAACCUGUGGAAAGAAAUGGAUGAAGAUGGCAUAGCAUAGACAGGCAUGGAUGAAUUGCAAUCCAUAUCAUUGGGAAGAUAAGCAACAAAGGAUAGAUCAAAUCCUGAUUUGUGGAAUUUUCCAGUUUUCAAAGUAUAAAUAUUCAUAUUGGAAAGUUAACAACCAGAUCUGUGAGCCUGUAUAA